rnacentral:rRNA from 1 species
AACGAACGCUGGCGGCAGGCUUAACACAUGCAAGUCGAGCGGAGUGAUGGUGCUUGCACUAUCACUUAGCGGCGGACGGGUGAGUAAUGCUUAGGAAUCUGCCUAUUAGUGGGGGACAACAUCUCGAAAGGGAUGCUAAUACCGCAUACGUCCUACGGGAGAAAGCAGGGGAUCACUUGUGACCUUGCGCUAAUAGAUGAGCCUAAGUCGGAUUAGCUAGUUGGUGGGGUAAAGGCCUACCAAGGCGACGAUCUGUAGCGGGUCUGAGAGGAUGAUCCGCCACACUGGGACUGAGACACGGCCCAGACUCCUACGGGAGGCAGCAGUGGGGAAUAUUGGACAAUGGGGGGAACCCUGAUCCAGCCAUGCCGCGUGUGUGAAGAAGGCCUUAUGGUUGUAAAGCACUUUAAGCGAGGAGGAGGCUCUUUUGGUUAAUACCCAAGAUGAGUGGGCGUUACUCGCAGAAUAAGCACCGGCUAACUCUGUGCCAGCCGCCGCCGUAA